rnacentral:sRNA from 1 species
CCUAUUAAGGUUAUCGAUUUGAAUGCCAACUGAUGUGUACGCUCUGUACAGGAUCCAGCGCGCGUGUGUAUACUUGCAUCUUCUUAUCAGAUUGUUCCCCAUCCAAGUUGCAACGUUAAUACCAAACGUCAAAGAUAGUAUCCAAAUUGGUGAACCUGUAUAUCUUAUGAUGCUUGGGUAGAUUCUUGAGAAGAAAUGCUAACUACUAAUAUCCUGUCAAAGUCAUCGAUGGAUAUUAUUAUUCUUCUUCCUCUUUCCUUUCCUGCUAAUUAAUUUGCCAGAGUUCCCAGCCCAGCCCCGGUUUAUGGAUAUGCGCCUGAAGGUGAAUUUCUGGGGGCAACUUACUUAUGCGAGCCCUUCUUCCCGCAGGCACCAGCAGAGCAAUUGAGUAUCCGAUGAUUGUGAUGAAUAUAUAUUGGAGAGCUUGCUUCGUUUCUUAACCGGUAAUACAUACUACUGCGUACCCUGUACCCUCCUGACCGCAGACUCUUUCCCGGCUGGAAGAAGAAAGAAAGAAUAUAAAAAGCUUGACGAUGAGGCUUCCAGUAUCUGUUAAAAUGUAGGAAGUAAUGAAUGAUUAAGAUUGAAGUGGUUGGUGGUCGAUUGAAAAGUUGAGUUAGACACUACAUAGGUAGGCGUUUCCUGUGUAUAGCUACAGUUAGACAUCCACAUUCGUGUCUACUAAGAUGCGGGGCGGAGGAUGAGAGAAGCCCCCGAAGCCAUCCAACAUUCAAUUUAUAGAUCAAUAGUGAAAACC